CCUACGGGAGGCUGCAGUGAGGAAUAUUGGUCAAUGGACGAGAGUCUGAACCAGCCAAGCAGCGUGAAGGAUGAAUGCCCUAUGUGUUGUACACUUCUUUUAUAAAGGAAUAAAACGAGGCACGUGUGCCUUUUUGCAUGUCCUUUAUGAAUAAGGAUCGGCUAACUCCGUGCAAGCAGCCGCGGUAAUACGGAGGAUCCGAGCGUUAUCCGGUCUUAGUGGGUUUAAAGGGAGCGUAGAUGGGGUGUUAAGUCAGUUGUGAAAGUUUGCGGCUCAACCGUAAAAUUGCAAUGGAGACUGGCAGUCUUGAGUACAGUUGAGGUAGGCGGAAUUCGUGGUGUAGCGGUGAAAUGCUUAGAUAUCACGAAGAACCCCGAUUGCGAAGGCAGCUUACUAAACUGUGACUGACAUUGAUGCUCGAAAGUGUGGGUAUCAAACAGGAUUAGAUACCCUGGUAGUC
rnacentral:rRNA from 1 species